GCUGAGCAGUGGCUCAGCCGGUAGAGCAUCAGACUCUUAAUCUCAGGGUCAUGGUUUCGAGCCCCACGUUGAGCA